GCAGUGGUGGUUCAGUGGUAGAAUCGUCUUCUAUGUGGGAGACCUGGGUUUGAUUCCUGGCCAGUGUA
rnacentral:tRNA from 1 species